UGGGGAAUAUUGCACAAUGGGCGCAAGCCUGAUGCAGCCAUGCCGCGUGUAUGAAGAAGGCCUUCGGGUUGUAAAGUACUGUCAGCGGGGAGGAAGGGAGUAAAGUUAAUACCUUUGCUCAUUGACGUUACCCGCAGAAGAAGCACCGGAUAACUCCGUGCCAGCAGCCGCGGUAAUACGGAGGGUGCAAGCGUUAAUCGGAAUUACUGGGCGUAAAGCGCACGCAGGCGGUUUGUUAAGUCAGAUGUGAAAUCCCCGGGCUCAACCUGGGAACUGCAUCUGAUACUGGCAAGCUUGAGUCUCGUAGAGGGGGGUAGAAUUCCAGGUGUAGCGGUGAAAUGCGUAGAGAUCUGGAGGAAUACCGGUGGCGAAGGCGGCCCCCUGGACGAAGACUGACGCUCAGGUGCGAAAGCGUGGGGAGCAAACAGG
rnacentral:rRNA from 1 species